GGUUGGAUGGCCGAGUGGUUAAGGCGCUAGUUUCAGGUACUAGUGGGAAACCUCGUGGGUUCGAGUCCCACUCCAAUCA
rfam:Fonticula alba strain ATCC 38817 unplaced genomic scaffold supercont2.1, whole genome shotgun sequence.